rnacentral:rRNA from 1 species
UACGGAGGGGGCUAGCGUUGUUCGGAAUUACUGGGCGUAAAGCGCACGUAGGCGGCUUUGUAAGUUAGAGGUGAAAGCCCGGGGGCUCAACUCCGGAAUUGCCUUUAAGACUGCAUCGCUAGAAUUGUGGAGAGGUAAGUGGAAUUCCGAGUGUAGAGGUGAAAUUCGUAGAUAUUCGGAAGAACACCAGUGGCGAAGGCGACUUACUGGACACAUAUUGACGCUGAGG